CCUACGUGUGGCAGCAGUAGGGAAUCUUUCACAAUGGGCGAAAGCCUGAUGGAGCAACGCCGCGUGCAGGAUGAAGGCCUUCGGGUUGUAAACUGCUUUUAUAAGCGAGAAAUAUGAUGGUAACUUAUGAAUAAGGAUCGGCUAACUACGUGCCAGCAGCCGCGGUCAUACGUAGGAUCCGAGCAUUAUCCGGAGUGACUGGGUGUAAAGGGAGCGUAGGCGGGGAUGCAAGUUGGGUGUCAAAACUACCGGCUCAACUGGUAGUCGCACUCAAAACUGCAGCUCUUGAGUGAAGUAGAGGCAGGCGGAAUUCCUAGUGUAGCGGUGAAAUGCGUAGAUAUUAGGAGGAACACCAGUGGCGAAGGCGGCCUGCUGGGCUUUUACUGACGCUGAGGCUCGAAAGUGUGGGGAGCAAACAGGAUUAGAUACCCUGGUAGUC
rnacentral:rRNA from 1 species